AACCUGGUUGAUCCUGCCAGUAGUCAUAUGCUUGUCUCAAAGAUUAAGCCAUGCAUGUCUAAGUAUAAACUGCUUUACACUGUGAAACUGCGAAUGGCUCAUUAAAUCAGUUAUAGUUUAUUUGAUGGUACUUACUUACUCGGAUACCCGUAGUAAUUCUAGAGCUAAUACGUGCGUACAUCCCGACUUCUGGAAGGGACGUAUUUAUUAGAUAAAAGGCCGACCGGGCUUGCCCGACUCGCGGUGACUCAUGAUAACUUCACGAAUCGCAUGGCCUCGUGCCGGCGAUGUUUCAUUCAAAUUUCUGCCCUAUCAACUUUUGAUGGUAGGAUAGAGGCCUACCAUGGUGGUAACGGGUGACGGAGAAUUAGGGUUCGAUUCCGGAGAGGGAGCCUGAGAAACGGCUACCACAUCCAAGGAAGGCAGCAGGCGCGCAAAUUACCCAAUCCUGAUACAGGGAGGUAGUGACAAUAAAUAACAAUACCGGGCCUUUGGUCUGGUAAUUGGAAUGAGUACAACCUAAACACCUUAACGAGGAUCAAUUGGAGGGCAAGUCUGGUG
rnacentral:rRNA from 1 species